rnacentral:rRNA from 1 species
GACAGAGGGUGCAAACGUUGUUCGGAAUUACUGGGCGUAAAGCGCGUGUAGGCGGCUAAGUAAGUCGGGCGUGAAAUCCCACGGCUCAACCGUGGAAGUGCACUCGAAACUGCAUAGCUAGAGUCCUGGAGAGGAAGGUGGAAUGCUUGGUGUAGAGGUGAAAUUCGUAGAUAUCUGGAGGAACACCGGUGGCGAAGGCGGCAUCCUGGACCAACACUGACACUGAGGAGCGAAAGCCAGGGGAGCAAACGGG